GCCUCUGGUCUUUGUUAGUCUUGUAUUAUUUUAAUUUUAGUUUCUUGUGUACAAUUUGGAAAUUAGUAUGGCGUUCAUUAUCACUGAACAAGUAUAUAUUUGUUUAGGUGCCAGCUGAAGGACGCCUCCGGGUGCGGGAAUUUCUCGUUACAUUGAAGACCUGUUGGUGACCUUCUGCUGUUGUUUUUUCUAUGGUCGGGUUGUUGUCUCUUUGAUACAUUCCCCAUUUCCAU
rnacentral:lncRNA from 1 species